AUGUCUGAACUGUGUUCCGCACGGGCCACAAAGGGUCGUGUUACUCAAGACUGCAAGCGACGAAAACCGCUAGCUCUCUGCACAGGGGAGGAGGCAAGUGAGGCAGCUGCCACCAGGCUGGCUCCGCUGGCUUUGACAGCAGAGAUGACACUUUCUCUCCCUGGAGUCAAGCAGUGUGUCCUUUUCAUAUUGAACGAUAUUCGGAGAACAUGGCACCUUCAGUGUGGAAUCGCUAAACGCCCUCAGAAGCUGUCCUGGCCCAAAAGAUGGGGAGACAUCUGGAGACACCUGUGGCCUCACCGCCCCGCUCUCCACCUCCCGCUGCAGCCCCUCCUUCCUGGUUCCACCUGCUUCACUGCCCGCCUCUUCUAGGGUGGCCCCCAGAGUCCUUAUUAAAAUUGACUGCCUUUUAUUUCUUCCGCGGGGCACCUCUGAUCCACCUGCUAACGGCCAC
rnacentral:lncRNA from 1 species